rnacentral:rRNA from 1 species
UGAACGCUGGCGGCGUGCCUAAUACAUGUAAGUCGAGCGAACAGACGAGGAGCUUGCUCCUCUGACGUUAGCGGCGGACGGGUGAGUAACACGUGGAUAACCUACCUAUAAGACUGGGAUAACUUCGGGAAACCGGAGCUAAUACCGGAUAAUAUAUUGAACCGCAUGGUUCAAUAGUGAAAGACGGUUUUGCUGUCACUUAUAGAUGGAUCCGCGCCGCAUUAGCUAGUUGGUAAGGUAACGGCUUACCAAGGCAACGAUGCGUAGCCGACCUGAGAGGGUGAUCGGCCACACUGGAACUGAGACACGGUCCAGACUCCUACGGGAGGCAGCAGUAGGGAAUCUUCCGCAAUGGGCGAAAGCUUGACGGAGCAACGCCGCGUGAGUGAUGAAGGUCUUCGGAUCGUAAAACUCUGUUAUUAGGGAAGAACAAAUGUGUAAGUAACUAUGCACGUCUUGACGGUACCUAAUCAGAAAGCCACGGCUAACUACGUG